CCCACGGCGGAAGGCAACAAGUUCACAGGAGGUCGUCGAUAGUCCGGGAAACGUACAAACUCACUAACUGAAGAAGAUAAGACAUGUUGAGGGGGAAAAAAGAAAGACAUAAACUGAUAGCAGCAGCUGAGACUGACAGCGGGAUUUAUACCCUGACACUGAUACAUCAUCCAGUAUCAGCUUUCCUUGAAACGGAUCAGACGGCUACGUGUCUGCAGCUGUGUAAAAUCCACAAGAGAGCCGGGAGGAUUCCAGGAGGAUUCCAGGAGGAUUCCAGGAGGAUUCCAGGAGCCAGUGUCUCCUCAUUCACGGCAGAGAUGGGUCGAAGCCUGUAGCUGUAACAGCUGGAGAGCUGCUAGCGCUCUGGCCUGGACUAGCUUCCCUGCCAACAGCGGCAGAGCUCCUAGCAUCACCGCCACCAUCGCCAGAUUGCAUCUAUUUAAAAUAUAUUUUGGUGGGUU